rnacentral:tRNA from 1 species
GAUUGUAGCUCAGUGGCAGAGCCCUUGCCUUGCAAGUAUGAGGCACUGGGUUUGAUCCCCAGCACCACAUCA